UGGGGAAUUUUGGACAAUGGGCGAAAGCCUGAUCCAGCAAUGCCGCGUGUGUGAAGAAGGCCUUCGGGUUGUAAAGCACUUUUGUCCGGAAAGAAAUCCUUGGCUCUAAUACAGUCGGGGGAUGACGGUACCGGAAGAAUAAGCACCGGCUAACUACGUGCCAGCAGCCGCGGUAAUACGUAGGGUGCAAGCGUUAAUCGGAAUUACUGGGCGUAAAGCGUGCGCAGGCGGUUUGCUAAGACCGAUGUGAAAUCCCGGGCUCAACCUGGGAACUGCAUGGUGACUGGCAGGCUAGAGUAUGGCAGGAGGGGGUAGAAUUCCACGUGUGAGCAGUGAAAUGCGUAGAGAUGUGGAGGAAUACCGAUGGCGAAGGCAGCCCC
rnacentral:rRNA from 1 species